rnacentral:rRNA from 1 species
UCGACCUCAAAUCAGGUAGGACUACCCGCUGAACUUAAGCAUAUCAAUA